AUGUAUGUCAAAAACUGUCAACUGGGAGAACGGCAGUGAUUUGAGUUGUAUACAAUCAUGCCUUCGUGUGGACGUCGCAGUAGUUAGUCCAUACAGUACCGUCAUGAGUGGUACAGUCCGACAGAUUACUGUAGCUUCGGAUCCAGGCACCCCGUACUUCCUGCGAGUGGACUGGGCCUUAGACCUGGGGGCUGGCUUCACACUAGCUCUCACUGAUGGCAGCUCGGCAUGGAUCGGAGAGGUUUCAGAAGACGAGGUGACAAGGGAAGCCAACGAUGUGGGAGCCACAAGGGAAAGAUAUGUUGAGGAUCUUCUCCAAGCGCUAACAGGAGGUGAAGGAGGAAGGAGAGGAGGCGACAAGGGGGUGUAUUCUUUCCACGUCAGUCCAGAUCGCUGUCAUCUCUCAUAUCAGAAGAUCUGUAAUGACAUCUCGGUGCACUUGGGUUCUGUGGAGCUCCAGCCAGCUGCAGACCCACUAGAGCUGAACCGGGAGAUGAUUGGCCAGUCCCUAAAGCGCACUACAUAUCUGGAGUCCAAAAAUUGCCAGCUGUUGGAGGAGAACCGUAGGCUAAAACAGGAGCACCAGAGAAUUCUCAUAGAACAGGAGCAGCAGGUUGAAGAUAAGGAGAUGUUGGAGGGCGAGCUGUACUCACGUUUCGUCAUGGUGCUGAAUGAGAAGAAGGCCAAGAUCAGAGGCCUGCAGGAUGCUGUCCGCCAGCUACAACACACUGACGGCCAGCAGAGAGAUGAGGAAGGGAGACAAAGCGACGAUGACACAACUCAGGGUGACGACGACGGUCAGGACAGAAGAGAGGAGACAGUUCAGAGCAUCCAUCCAUCCCAGGAGCCAACUAUUCUCCUCACAGGUCGUGAUCUGGUGUGCUAUGGCAUCUCUGUGGACCGAACCUUUUCUGAUGAGGAAGAUGAACAGCGGAGCCGGAAGCGUAGGUUGCUUCACAGCCUGAGCCCAGAACCUUCUGAGCAGGAAUGAAGCCUCAGGUUCGUCAGAUAACCAAUGCAACCAAUCUAUCACCAUAUUUGGAUUCUGAUGAUACCUAAGCGUCUGCUGAAGACCACAGGUGGCCGCCUGGAUAAUCCCCCAACAUGCGCUUGCUGGUGUAGUAAUCCUCAACAGGAAUGUCACACUCGCUCCUUUAAACAUCCCAUAAAUAAGGCCUUUUAUAUGCCCAGAUCAGUUCCUAAGGAUCAUCUGCGGAUGAGUGCAUGACAUGGAGGAUGAGACAAAGUGUGAAGGACAAGAUAGGAAACUGUACUGAAUAUUUCAGUUUGUGGUUUCAUUCAGAACAUAACGAUAGCAUGCAUUGAAUGCAGAAUAUUAUAUAUAUAUAACAGGCCUGUUUGUGUUGUUUUCUUAUUUUGGAUUGGACCUGAUGAUACUUUUUUCUUAUUUUAAAGAUAUUCUAAAUGUUUCCACUUUCAAUCAGUUGGUUCAAGAACAAAUAUUUUAUUUUAUUUUGAAAAUCACAAAUGUUCCCUGGAAAUGUAUUGCAAAUACAUGAAGGUAAUAUGUUAAUAUGUGAAAUGUUGUCAAUGUUCUUCAAAUGUGUUCUGGGUUAAUAUAUAUUAAGAAAAGCACGUUAAUUCCAACCUGACUUGAAUAAAAAA